rnacentral:misc_RNA from 1 species
CGCUUCUCAAUUCUAAUCUUCUCCAUCCUUCUCCUCUUACGUUUUCUUUGUAUUAUUAUAUAGCAAACUUUUCUUAUACUCAAGGUAGUUGCUGUCGUAAGAUCAAGAAGAACAAGAGAGGAGCACUAAUUUCUAACUAGAUUUCUAGCUAAAUUUUGUUAAUUGUUCGAACCCAAUUCUAAAGAGAAACUUCAGAUUAUAUGUGUAUAAAUAUAAUCACAAUUAAGACAUAUUAGAAUGAGGAGAUUAUAAAGUAAAAAACUAUACGGCUGUCGUAGUAGUAGCAGCAGCGGG